GACGGAGGAUGCAAGUGUUAUCCGGAAUCACUGGGCGUAAAGCGUCUGUAGGUGGUUUAAUAAGUCAACUGUUAAAUCUUGAGGCUCAACCUCAAAAUCGCAGUCGAAACUAUUAGGCUAGAGUAUAGUAGGGGUAAAGGGAAUUUCCGGUGGAGCGGUGAAAUGCGUAGAGAUCGGAAAGAACACCAACGGCGAAAGCACUCUGCUGGGCCGACACUGACACUGAGGCGCGACAGCGUGGGGAGCAAACAGG
rnacentral:rRNA from 1 species